rnacentral:rRNA from 1 species
GCGCACGCAGGCGGUCAAUUAAGUCAGAUGUGAAAGCCCCGAGCUUAACUUGGGAAUUGCAUCUGAAACUGGUUGGCUAGAGUCUUGUAGAGGGGGGUAGAAUUCCACGUGUAGCGGUGAAAUGCGUAGAGAUGUGGAGGAAUACCGGUGGCGAAGGCGGCCCCCUGGACAAAGACUGACGCUCAGGUGCGAAAGCGUGGGGAGCAAACAGGAUUAGAUACCCUGGUAGUCCACGCUGUAAACGAUGUCGAUUUAGAGGUUGUGGUCUUGAACCGUGGCUUCUGGAGCUAACGCGUUAAAUCGACCGCCUGGGGAGUACGGCCGCAAGGUAAAACUCAAUUG